CCCAGCUGUAGGCAACAGCCUAGGGUUCAGUGUACCUAGGCAAGUGUUACAGUGCUGGGAGAAAAGUAGCUAACUGAUGGUGGCAUCCUGGGUCUGGUUAAUGCCAAAUUUGUGUUAACUACACCAGUGUGCCAGCACAGU
rnacentral:snoRNA from 1 species